UUAAAGUUGUUGCAGUUAACAAGCUCGUAGUUGAACCUUGGGCCUGGCUGGCCGGUCCGCCUCACCGCGUGCACUGGUCCGGCCGGGYCUUUCCUUCUGGGGAGCCGCAUGCCCUUCACUGGGUGUGUCGGGGAACCAGGACUUUUACUUUGAAAAAAUUAGAGUGUUCAAAGCAGGCCUAUGCUCGAAUACAUUAGCAUGGAAUAAUA
rnacentral:rRNA from 1 species